rnacentral:rRNA from 1 species
UACGUAGGUGGCAAGCGUUGUCCGGAUUUACUGGGUGUAAAGGGCGUGCAGCCGGGCUGACAAGUCAGAUGUGAAAUCCCGCGGCUCAACCGCGGAACUGCAUUUGAAACUGUCAGUCUUGAGUACCGGAGAGGUCAUCGGAAUUCCUUGUGUAGCGGUGAAAUGCGUAGAUAUGAGGAGGAACACCAGUGGCGAAGGCGGUCUGCUGGACAGCAACUGACGCUGAGGCGCGAAAGCGUGGGGAGCAAACAGG